GUGGCGCGAAGAUUGCUCCAAUAGAAGUCGGAGUGGUAACGGCAGCUACGUGCUCCUCGGCACCCGAGGGGAGGAUCCUUCUCUCUACUUCUUCGGCGGACACAGAGAAGGUUUGCCAGGCCUGAAUCUCGGCCUCUUCUUGAUAGCGCAGUGGAUGGAUUUGGUCGAGAACCUCAUGCCUACAAGUCAAAGACAAAGGAAGAGUUAGUCCACAAACAAAAAAGAGAAUCGAUGAAAAAGACUCCAAGGAUUCACAAAAGGAAGUCUACCGAAAUGACCGGUCGGGCUUAUUCCGGCAUCG
rnacentral:lncRNA from 1 species